AAUUUAGUUUUUCAUGAAAUUGCUUUAGGAUUGAUUGAUGAUCCAUGGCGGUUUAAUUGGAGCAGGAGGGCUGGGAGGAGCGGAUUUUUGGUAAAGAUGAGAGCGCAAGUUUGUUUUUUUUAAUUUUUGUUUUGUAUUUUUUAUUUAAUUUUAUGUUAGUGGAAAAUUGAGUCAUCUGUCAUAUAGGCGGUCAAAUUGUUAAAAUGUCAUAUCAUACGAGUGGACAAACGGAAUUAGAUAAAAGGAAGACGGUCAAACAUUGAACUUUGCAAAAAAUGGAUGGUUCGUGAUACGAAUACAAUUACCCAUAAUUUAUGUACAUUUUGAAUUUCACAAAAUUAUUCAUGACAUUUGCCUAAUUUUUAAUUUCCUUAUAUAUUAUUAGAAUUAUUUUAUUCCAUAAUAUUAAUUAUUAC
rnacentral:lncRNA from 1 species